rnacentral:rRNA from 1 species
GAUGAACGCUGGCGGCGUGCCUAAUACAUGCAAGUCGAGCGAACGGACGAGAAGCUUGCUUCUCUGAUGUUAGCGGCGGACGGGUGAGUAACACGUGGAUAACCUACCUAUAAGACUGGGAUAACUUCGGGAAACCGGAGCUAAUACCGGAUAAUAUUAUGAACCGCAUGGUUCAAAAGUGAAAGACGGUCUUGCUGUCACUUAUAGAUGGUUCCGCGCUGCAUUAGCUAGUUGGUAAGGUAACGGCUUACCAAGGCAACGAUGCAUAGCCGACCUGAGAGGGUGAUCAGCCACACUGGAACUGAGACACGGUCCAGACUCCUACGGGAGGCAGCAGUAGGGAAUCUUCCGCAAUGGGCGAAAGCCUGACGGAGCAACGCCGCGUGAGUGAUGAAGGUCUUCGGAUCGUAAAACUCUGUUAUUAGGGAAGAACAUAUGUGUAAGUAACUGUGCACAUCUUGACGGUACCUAAUCAGAAAGCCACGGCUAACUACGUG